rnacentral:lncRNA from 1 species
GCACACACUACCAUGCAAGCGUAUAAUAGCGUACACGACGGCGGAGAGAGAUCUUAUUCAUCAGUCAACUCAUACAUGUAUAGGUAUGUAGCGACGGUGGAGGCAGGCAGGAUUCGGAGCGGUGGAAUGGAUCAUAGAUCCGGCGGUCGUUUAGCUCACCCUGCAGCAUGAAGCAAGAAUCAGUAUAUGCAUUUCAUGCAUGCAGUGAUUAAUUUAAUUACGUGCUGGUUGAAGCAAAAUUAAAGUCGAAGAUAUGGAUGAUUGAUCGAGGUGUUAAUUACCUGGAGCAGUCGGUGGAGGUGCUGAUGGAGUAUGGGAUGCUGACGCCGCACUUGGAUGGGAUGCUGGCGGCGUUGCCGGCGUUGAGUCCGCUGAUCCCCCUGGCGGCGUUCUUGAGGCAGUUGCAGGCGGCGCGCCUGUCGGCGGUGGUCCUGGCGGCGGAGUUGAGGCUCCUGACGCCGUUGCAGCAGCCGGCGGAGGGGGCGGAGCCCUGGCCGCGGGCGUAAGGGAGGCACUGGCCGAUGGCGGAGUUGACCUGGCCGCAGCUGAUGGCGGCCUCGGAGGCCGCCGCGGCGAGCAGCACCGCGGCCACGACGGCGAGCACCACCACCUGAGCGCGAGCCAUGCUGAUGUGCGUGUUCCUGUGCUAGCUGCUAGCUGCGCUGUGGUCGAUGGAUCGGAUGUGCUCUACAAGCUGCUUGGGAAGAAUGUGCUUUGCUUUGCUGGUGAGGAGGGAAUGUUGGUCUUUAAAUAGGGUCUCGAUCGACCUAGCUCUCUGUGUGGUUUGUGAGCGAUGACUGACGAGGACGGAGACGGGGAGCUGCUAGCUGAUGGGUGCAUGCAUGGCCAUGCCCAUGGUGUGUUGCAGUCGUCGGUGGAUCCCUGUCGUUGGUGUCGGUCUCGAUCGACCGGAUGGGAGUUAAGGGACCGGCAGGAGGUAGUUGGGAGUUGGGCCAGCAGAUGAUGGUCGGUGUGCAGUUGAGGCAGCACGCAUUCAAUUCAUUCAGUGUCAGUGAUCGAGGGUUUGGGGGGUGGAUGCGAGUGCUUAUCGAUGAUAAUUGUACGUUUAAACAUCAUACCAAUCCAUCCGUCCAUUCGUUUACACGGAUCGAUCCUUCCAGCUGUAAUCUUCCCACAAUAGUUAAUGCAUGGCUGCAACCAGAAACAAAUUAAAGACACGUACUCUUCCAGGAGGUUAGCCGUUGGUAAACUGAUUAAGUGAUGAAUUUACCCAGCAUAGUGACAGCAGACAGAUGCACAAGCAGGAAGCACCGACGGUUGCCGAAACUCGUUUGUCCACCCAGACCCUCCAGCUGCAGCCAUCGAGCUGCUAGCGAUGGACAACUGCAUGGGCCGGACGUCGCGACUGUGGUGUGGAUCGACACACCGCUACAUGCUUGUACAAGCCGCUGAGUACGAGUGAGGGAAGCGGUGCAACUCGUACACACUUGACAUCUGUCCAAGUCCAUGCAUCUACAUGCAUGUAUCUGCAUGCUCCAUAAGAAAAAAAAAGAAGAACGGUCUCGGACUGCGUCGGGGAUCUGAAUCGGGAUACUAAAUGCCACCCUCGCUGAACCGUCACCAAAGGUAAGCAACGUUUACUUAAGCGUGAUUGUAGGAAAUAAUGUUUGGACAGAGCAAAGGAGAUCCGCGACGUUUACUUAAGUGUGAUGGUAGGAAAUGAUGUUUGGACAGAGCAGAGAAGGUCCGGUUUCGCUUCGUGGGAUCAAGGAAAAAGUCGUGAAGGUCCAGGACACCUUCGCAUAUAGGUGACACGUGUCCUGCAUCAAUGUCCUGCCAAGUGCUAAUCGUGACACGUGUACCUACGAGUGCAUCAAAUAGCGGUCUCCUAUACACCGUAGGAGUACUAUGUAUUCAUGGCCUACUUAACUUUUAUUCGCGGACACUUGCUAGAGCGGGCACGCAAGGCUUGCAACUUUGCAAGUGGGUCGGCGUCCCACCGUGGAGAGUCAUAGCUGCUUGGCACAUGCAUUCCCCUGUGCCACCAACCUCUUGGCCCUCUUCUAGAACAAACAUAAAGAUGGCACUAUUAUUGGAUUAAGGUCAUGUUGCUGUUGUUGUGCAUAAGAUCAUUCCACAGAUUUACUAAUUUUGUCGUCGUUUCACCCGUAUGAUCAUGUGUUUAUGAGACCAUUAUCAUUGUGUUGUACAUAAAGCCAUUCUUAAUGAAACUCCGCCCCUCUCUCUUCGUAACCAUCUUGCUGUGCCAUUAAAGUUGUACGUGUCACAUCAUUUAAUAAAAUAAACUCUUUUGAAACACUAGUCUUCUUCUCCCUCGUGCGGAUACUCACACAAAUAUAUACACUAGUGGUGCUCUAAAACGAGCUGCAGCAAUUGCUUAGCUAAUAAUGGGGCGACUUUUGUUUUACUCUUGCUCAAUUUUUUUAACAAAUAAAAAUUAUGGCAUGCUAUCGUGUUUUUGGGCUCAUCCCAGAAAAAGGUGAAAGAAAAGCCAGCAAACAAAACAGAUCAGCCCAUAUACAAAACAGGAACAAGCAAUUUUAUACAAAAAGGAAAAGUCUAUCUAACACCCUUCAACUAUCGUGUGAGAUAGAAUUUGCUCCUCCAAAGUGUGGCGCUAGGUCUCUCACCUCCCUUGCUUGGGCCGAGACCGAAAACAAAGCCCAUAAAACUAGAAAGGCUUUGAAAAGCCCACAUCCGGAUAUCAUGCCAAAGCCGUACGGCCCAACAGAAGACUGUUGCUGUGCAUUCCAUGCAGUCCGAACAGAGUGGUUUUAUUCUCUGUCUGAACCAGGAUGCAUGCAGAAGCAGGGGCAAGGCAACUGGCAGGAGGCAGGGCCAGGCAUUGUCACAACUCAUGAAGAGCGAGGUCACCACUUGCAGAUCCGAUAGACUCGCGCGCACUACUAAAAAAAAAUGCGUGUAUCGAAAAGGAUGGCACAUAUGAUCCGAUACAAAGAGUUUAUUCAUUCAGAGAGCUGCCUGCCUAUAACGAAGCAUAUGCAGCAACAGGAAACACAGAGGCCCAGCAAACCCGGUCAUGAGCAAGGCAAGGAUUGUAUUGCUGGCCUAGCAGCUGGUACGACGACGACAGAGAUAUAUAGAUGCAUAUAUGGUGUAAAGGUAAGGUAGUAAACACGAGUGAUCACUGCUCCGAAUCUGAUGACCGACAUCCAUCCAUAUGAUGCCCUGCCACCUUCUGAUCAGUUAAUCCUGCAUAAAACAGGUAAUAAUGGUCAACAAGAAGGAAGAAUCUGAAGAGAUGAUGAUGUGAGUGGUAAUUAAGCAGUAGUAGUUACUUGGAGCAGUCGACGUUGGGGCUGAUGGGUACGCCGACGCUGACGCCGCACUUGCUUGGGAUGUUGGCGGCGUUGCCCAUGCUGGCGCCGCCUCCGCCGAGCCUGCCGGUCAUGCUCUUGAGGCAGGUGCAGGCCGCCUGGCGGUCGGCGGUGGAGGAGGCCCUGGUGCUGAGGGACCUGACCCCGUUGCAGCACGCCGUCGACGGGGACGCCGCGCUGCCCAUCGCGUACCCCAGGCACGGCACCACCGCCGACGUCACCUCGCUGCAGCUCACGGCCGCCGACGCCGUCUCCGCCGCCACCAGCGCAGCCAGCACGGCCACCACCGCCACAACGGCAACGCGAGGAGCCAUUGCACACGCAACGACAAGUGUAUACUGUGUGACUACUGAUGUGAUCAGUGAAGUGUAAGCUAGCUGAUUGUUUGGUAGUUUUAGCUUGGAUUGUUGAGCUUGUGACGGGGAGGCAGGGUAUAAGUAGGGAGUGAGGUGAAUUUUGGAGGGUGGUGAUCUGGCCUCGUAGUACUGCUGCGUACAUGUGCAUGAGUGCAGUGCACCGGUGGUUGAGAGCACCAAACCUGCAGUUGACCGUACGUAGUAGGACGAGAUGAAUGCAUGCACGUGAUCGUGCCUCGUUCCAAUUGCAGGUUGUUUUAACUUUUCUAGAUUCAUAUAUAUUAUUAUGCAUCUAGAUAUAGUGUCCACUCAUUAUACACACGUACUACUAGCCACAACUUCAAUUGUUUCAAUUCGUUCGUAAUAAAGUAGAGUAAGCUCUUGUUUACUUCACCCCUAACUCCCAACUUUGGCACUAUGCAAAAAGAAGAUUCCCCAUCACAUCAAACUUGCGGUACAUGCAUGGAGUACUAAAUGUAGAUGAAAUUAAAAACUAAUUGCACAGUUUUGUUGUACUUUGCGAGACGAAUCUUUUGAGCCUAAUUAGUCAAUGUUUGGACAAUAAUUCACAAAUACAAACGAAACACUACAGUGUGCUACAGUGCCGGCACAGUAAUUUUGGCACUCCCAAUUUUGGCAACUAAACAAGGCCCAAAUAAGCAUCUAAUUAAGGGCCUGUUUGGUUACCGUGAACUAAAAUUUAGUCUACCCAUUUUAGCUCCUUUUAGUCUCUAAAGUGCCAAACAGCUGGACUAAAAUGUGGACUAAACCCUUUAAUCCUCUAGUCCAAGAGGGGUGGACUAAAAUGGACUAAAAGGCCUCGGAGACACCCCUACCCCUCAUUACUCCCCAUCCCACCCGUCUGAACCCUAUCUCUCCCUGCUGCCAGCGCUCUCUUCCUCCAGAAGCCUCGCCGCUCGCUCACAUCCCCGCUACCGCCGCUCGCUCCCCUCCCUACUCCCGUCGCUCGCUCCCCACGCCACCGCCACCACCUCCUCUCGUACCCACGCUGGAGCCACCGCCCCUGCUCCUCCCCACGCCAUAGCACCUGGUCCUCCCCACCACCGCAUCCAUCAUGGAUGGCCACGAGAACCAGUACCGGGACUUCUUCUCUCAGGCGAGUUCUUCAUCGGCGGCUACCCGCAGCUUCCCUGCUUCCUUGGACGCCGGCGACGAAGACAACUUCGGCCCCUUCUCCUCGCCGGCGGUCCACAGCCUCUCCGAUCCCCUGAUGCGCAUGGAGCACCUCGACCUCAACUCUCAAGCCGACGGCUUCCCCCACCUUGGCUCCUACCAGGAAUACCUCCAGGCGGAUGAUGCUGCCGGCAACCAAGGGCUACCUCUCCUUGCCCCUGGUGGCAGAUCUGCCGCGGAGGAGGCUGUGGAGGUUGCCGCUUGAGGUCCAUGACCACUAGAGCGGGAUCCGGUGGAGGCCAAGGGGGAGGCCGUGGGGGAUCCGUGUCUACCUGCGGAGGCAGAGGGGAAAGCCGUGUGGAAUCGAUGGUACACCGUGGAGGCCGUGGAUCCUCGGUUGCCAGCCACAGCUAUGUUCCUCUAGAGCAACUAGGCACAAUCGAGGAUGAAGAAGACGAUGGCUUUGAAGCCCGUUCCCAGUCGGUAAGAUCCAAGCUCCUCUGCUUUCCUAUGAUGUGAAUUUGUAGCUGAUUUUCUGUGAUGUGAAUUUGUAGCUGAUCUCCUGUGCUGCUGGUUACUUGUCAUGAGUUGAUUAUGAUUAUGAUAAGCUCCUCUACUUUCCUGUGAUGUGAAUUUGUAACUGAUUUCCUGUAAUGUCAAUUUGUAACUAAUUUCCUAUGAUGCCCUUAUUUGUCAUGAGUUGAUUAUGAUUAUGAUAAGCUCCUCUGGUUUUCUGUGAUGUCAAUUUGUAGCUCAUUUCCUGUGAUGUCAAUUUGUAGCUGAUUUUCUGUGAUGCCCUUAUUUAUAGUUGAUAAGAUUUUAUGUAAUAGAAUCAAUUUGAUAAGGCCAAUUGGUCCUAGGAAAACACACAUAUUUUCUGUAAUCUAGCAAUUGAACAAAUAAGGGCAAGGAAUUGCUUGAAUGGUACAAUGUCAGGUAGAGGUUAUAAUGUGGUGACAAGGUUUUUACACAAGAACUGGCCUCAAACAUUCUACCAAACAAAUGAGGAAUAGAUGGACACAAUGCAAAACUCUAUACACAUUCUAGGUUAUGCUUAAUAUCCAUACUGCUUUAAACCGAAGAGCUGAUGGAAU